UCUGUAGGCUGACCUUGAAUUCACUGAAAUC
rnacentral:piRNA from 1 species